GGACGCUUAGCUCAGCCGGUAGAGCAUUUGCUUGACGUGCAAAGGGUCAGCGGUUCGAUUCCGUUAGCGUCCACCA
rnacentral:tRNA from 1 species